rnacentral:tRNA from 1 species
UUAGGGAUUGAGCCCAGUGGUAGGGCCUUGCCUGGUAAGCACAAGGUCUUAGGUUCAGUUCUCACCUCUGAG